GUGUUGACUUUGGCAACACAUAUAUUACAAUUGUAAAGAGACAGAGAAGAUCAGCAUGGUAUCUACACAAGGAUGAUAUGCAAUUCUACGAAGUGUUCUAUAUUUUA
rnacentral:snRNA from 1 species